UACAAUGAUUAAAUAAUGUUA
rnacentral:piRNA from 1 species